AAAUUGAAGAGUUUGAUCAUGGCUCAGAUUGAACGCUGGCGGCAGGCCUAACACAUGCAAGUCGAACGGUAACAGGAAGCAGCUUGCUGCUUUGCUGACGAGUGGCGGACGGGUGAGUAAUGUCUGGGAAACUGCCUGAUGGAGGGGGAUAACUACUGGAAACGGUGGCUAAUACCGCAUAACGUCGCAAGACCAAAGAGGGGGACCUUCGGGCCUCUUGCCAUCAGAUGUGCCCAGAUGGGAUUAGCUAGUUGGUGAGGUAACGGCUCACCAAGGCGACGAUCCCUAGCUGGUCUGAGAGGAUGACCAGCCACACUGGAACUGAGACACGGUCCAGACUCCUACGGGAGGCAGCAGUGGGGAAUAUUGCACAAUGGGCGCAAGCCUGAUGCAGCCAUGCCGCGUGUAUGAAGAAGGCCUUCGGGUUGUAAAAGUACUUUCAGCGGGGAGGAAGGUGUUGUGGUUAAUAACCGCAGCAAUUGACGUUACCCGCAGAAGAAGCACCGGCUAACUCCGUGCCAGCAGCCGCGGUAAUACGGAGGGUGCAAGCGUUAAUCGGAAUUACUGGGCGUAAAGCGCACGCAGGCGGUCUGUCAAGUCGGAUGUGAAAUCCCCGGGCUCAACCUGGGAACUGCAUUCGAAACUGGCAGGCUUGAGUCUUGUAGAGGGGGGGUAGAAUUCCAGGUGUAGCGGUGAAAUGCGUAGAGAUCUGGAGGAAUACCGGUGGCGAAGGCGGCCCCCUGGACAAAGACUGACGCUCAGGUGCGAAAGCGUGGGGAGCAAACAGGAUUAGAUACCCUGGUAGUCCACGCCGUAAACGAUGUCUACUUGGAGGUUGUGCCCUUGAGGCGUGGCUUCCGGAGCUAACGCGUUAAGUAGACCGCCUGGGGAGUACGGCCGCAAGGUUAAAACUCAAAUGAAUUGACGGGGGCCCGCACAAGCGGUGGAGCAUGUGGUUUAAUUCGAUGCAACGCGAAGAACCUUACCUGGUCUUGACAUCCACAGAAGAAUCCAGAGAUGGAUUUGUGCCUUCGGGAACUGUGAGACAGGUGCUGCAUGGCUGUCGUCAGCUCGUGUUGUGAAAUGUUGGGUUAAGUCCCGCAACGAGCGCAACCCUUAUCCUUUGUUGCCAGCGGUCCGGCCGGGAACUCAAAGGAGACUGCCAGUGAUAAACUGGAGGAAGGUGGGGAUGACGUCAAGUCAUCAUGGCCCUUACGACCAGGGCUACACACGUGCUACAAUGGCGCAUACAAAGAGAAGCGACCUCGCGAGAGCAAGCGGACCUCAUAAAGUGCGUCGUAGUCCGGAUUGGAGUCUGCAACUCGACUCCAUGAAGUCGGAAUCGCUAGUAAUCGUGGAUCAGAAUGCCACGGUGAAUACGUUCCCGGGCCUUGUACACACCGCCCGUCACACCAUGGGAGUGGGUUGCAAAAGAAGUAGGUAGCUUAACCUUCGGGAGGGCGCUUACCACUUUGUGAUUCAUGACUGGGGUGAAGUCGUAACAAGGUAACCGUAGGGGAACCUGCGGUUGGAUCACCUCCUUA
rnacentral:rRNA from 1 species